rnacentral:rRNA from 1 species
GUGCAUGUUUAUAUAGGAAAAGUUGGGGAGACCUGACGCUGAAAGAUGGACUCGCGUCCCAUUAGCUAGUUGGUAGGGUAAUGGCCUACCAAGGCGACGAUGGGUAGCCGGCCUGAGAGGGUGGCCGGCCACACUGGGACUGAGACACGGCCCAGACUCCUACGGGAGGCAGCAGUGGGGAAUUUUGCGCAAUGCUCGUAAGAGUGACGCAGCGACGCCGCGUGAAUGACGAAGGCCUUCGGGUCGUAAAGUUCUUUCGACAGGGAAGAAAAUGCCUAUAAGUAACUGUGUAUGUAUUGACGGUACCUGUAUAAGCAGCCCCGGCUAACUCCGUGCCAGCAGCCGCGGUAAUACGGAGGGGGCGAGCGUUGUUCGGAGUGACUGGGCGUAAAGAGCACGUAGGCGGUGUUGUAAGUCAUUAGUCAAAGACUAGAGCUCAACUUUAGUAAGGCUAGUGAUACUAUAAUACUAGAGUAUCAGAGAGGAUUGCAGAAUUCCUGGUGUAGCGGUGAAAUGCGUAGAUAUCAGGAGGAAUACCGUUAGCGAAGGCGGCAAUCUGGCUGGAAACUGACGCUGAGGUGCGAAAGCGUGGGUAGCAAACAGGAUUAGAUACCCUGGUAGUCCACGCUGUAAACGAUGGAUGCUAGGUGU